CACUGCUGUAAAACACCUCACUAUACUGACCUCACAUCAGUAGAAUUGUCUCUGGUUUUGAAGUCAAUUGGACGUCCCAUUGACGCGUCACUCUUCAUGGACACACAGCUGGGUUCUGGUCUGAUGACUGUCACAAAAAACAGAAAGUGACACCACGAUGUCUAUGGAAAGUAGAAGACUAUUCAGAACAUGUCCCAGUCUCUGUUAAAAGAAGGGUGAUAUACUGUAUGCUUGUCAGCACGGAAAGAACUACAAGAAGACAACCACAACAGAUGAUUUGCAAACUGAACAUGAAUACACAAGAAGAAAAAGGUUCCAUGUGGAUUGUCCAGCAAAACUUUAUGUCUGAUAUGUAGAAAGGUAAGUAUUACAUUAGCAUGGCUUUAUAUACACUUUACAUAAUAUGUAGACAGGAA